rnacentral:autocatalytically_spliced_intron from 1 species
UUGAGCCGUAUGUUUUGAAAGGAAUUUGUACGGUUCUUAGGCGAGAAAGAGGGAGAAAUCCCUCCGACUUAGCCGAC